CCUUCAUCUAGAGAAACCCUCGUUUUUCUUUUGUUUCUGUAUCUCAGUCUCAAUCUCAAUCUAACACAGACAGGACGUGUAUAUGGAUUUCAGAUGCAGACCUUGUUCUUCGUAUUCUUCUUCUUCUUCUUCUUCUUCGAAUUAUUCUCUUCACAAUUACGAAUUCUCCAUCAUCGUUGUUGUUGCAACUCUCUCUAUUGCUCAGCCCCCCCACCGCUCCAUUCGAUUCACGCCAUGGUUUCCAGACCUCCGCUUUAGUUUUCCCAAAUAAUAUUUAUAUAUCAUUUUCAAAAAUAAAAAGGUCUGUCAAUUUCUUGAUUUGUGGUAAGUUAAGGAGUUAUAUAUUUAUCAAGUAAAUACACAGCAGGGGGACAGAAGCUUGGUGAAUCUUGUGUUCUAGUCUUGCACGUGACAUUAAAAAUAUGACUUCUGCUAGUUCUUCAAAUGUGAAGAUGUCAUUGAAGAGGGCUAAAUCACCUGGUUGGGCUGCAUUUGACCUCAAGCAGGGUCAGAAAGAAUGUUUUGAACUUGAAGUUGACAAUGAGCCUUACCCACCCAUGUCAAGUGCCAUCACCUCUCUGCCUCCCUGCCAGAACACUCGGCAGAAGAAUAAUCUUCCAGUGAGGUCUAUCUCAUCAGUGCUCUUACCUGAUGUGAAAUUUCCAACUUUGACAGAGGAUGAAGAUGAUGAAAAACCACUAGUAGUCGGCAAUUCUAGUGCAAUCUGGAGCAACAAGUUCACUGAUGAAACUGAUAUUGUACAGGCCUUUGCGAAGCUUAAAGAGCUUCACUCCUGGGCUGAUGAAAGGUUGAUUGAGGAUAUUAUGGCAGCCGUUGAUAACGAUGUUAACAAGGCCUCAGCUGUAUUGAUAUCAAUGGUUUCCCCUGAGAACUUUAAGCAGAAUAAGGAUAAAAAUAUCGGACAAUCAAAGUCUAAUUCCGAGCAUUUUCACAUAUCUAUUGCAACCCAGAGCAACAAGUUCACUGAUGAAACUGAUAUUGUAGAAGCCUAUGCAAAGUUCAAAGAGCUUCAUUCCUGGGUUGACGAAAGCUUGAUUGAGGAUAUUAUGACAGCUGCAGAUAAUGAUGUUAACAAGGCCUCAACUUUAUUGAUACCGAUGGUUUCCGCUGACAGCUUCAAGCAGAACAAGGAUAAAAACGUCGGACAAUCAAAAUCUAAUUCUGAGCAUUUUCGCUUGGACCAUAAAAAAUCAUUAGCAAGGAAAAGUGAUUUUUUUGGAGAGGCCAUAGACUUUUCAGAAUUGAGCUAUGUUCUUGAGGAUAGUCUUAAUUGCAAGAAUGAAGAACUGACCAAUGACAAUGUUUCUGGUGAAAAUAACAAGUCUGAUGCUGCUGCUGCACAUAUGAAGCUGAUUUUGGGGAACUUGAGGCCUGUACCCAUUGAGCCUGAGUGGGAAGAGGACGAUAUCUAUUUAAUCCAUCGAAAGGACGCAAUAAGGAUGAUUAGGUUAGCGUCUCAGCAUUCACGGGCAGCCACUGAUGCCUAUUCAAGGGGCGAUCACUUAUCUGCCCAACAGCUCUCAGUGAAAGCUAGGGAGGAAUGGAUGGCUGCUGAAGGUCUUAAUGCUAAGGCAGCAAAGGAAAUUUUAAGUAUCAGGAAUAGAAAAAACAGUCUAUGGGAAUUGGAUUUACAUGGUCUUCAUGCAGUGGAAGCAGUUCAAGCCUUGCAGGAGCGCUUGCACAGUCUUGAAUCCCUGGUUCUAUUGGAGCAAUCAGUAUCUCCAGAUAGAAACAGAAAAGGAUCAGGCAUUGUGCGUUGUGCAUCUCUCGAAUCAUUAGGUUGUAUGGAGAUGGAGAAGUUGGAUGAACAACGAGCAUCAUCUCAGCAGAGACCAACAUCAUUGCAUGUCAUAACAGGCUAAAGUACAUGGACGAGAUUGCACAAAAUAAGAUGCUUGAUGAAGAUCACUAGAAGCUAGUUGACCAACCAAGGUGGGACCUGAGCAAAUGUUACGGAGAGGGCAAGUGAGGCCGGGGAGUGAGCGUGCCUUAGUCUUGAGAGGAUGAGGACAAGAGAGGACACACUUGAUUGAGGAAUCAUAUAAGGUCAAACCAAGAAGGCUACAGAACAUUCCUUUCAUGGUAUGCUAAGGGAUGAGGAUUCUGGUUCUUGAAUACUGUGAUUUUUCAAGUUUUAUGUAUUUUUUGAAAAUUCAUUGGUACUCCGCAGACAUAGGACAUGUUUGCUCAUGUCACUUUGUAUAUAUGGCUCAGAAUGCUAAAUUAGGGGGCAGUGGUAUGUGCUACUAGCCUCCCUUGUGCCACUUAUGCAUGAGUGAGCUACCCCAAGGCAACUUGGGGGUGGGUUUUAGGUGAUCAACAGGUGUCUACGGUUCCAUUGGGGAUUAGGAGCCCCAUGGAUGCUGCCAUCAAGGGCAUGAGUGUCAGCACUAUGUGAACUUCUUGCCAUGGAGGCUUGGGACACGCAUCUGUUAUGCCCCGCUUCCUAUCCUGUUAGGAUUGUGUCCUCGGGCCAAUUGGACUAUCGAGGCACUCUCUACCUUGUCAACUAGCCCAAGAUUGGAUGGUGUAUGUGGUUGUGGCACUUGCAUGCUUCUCUGGGGUGCUAUGGCUUGCAUGAGUUACUUGGUUGGGAUCAACACUCUUGAUAGAUACGAUUGUGCUAGGUUGUGUGGCUUGGUGCCUUGAUGACGUGAACCUCAGUUGGGCGAAUGCCUCGUCGUGACAAGCUUGGUGCAAUGAUGCAACUACUACUGUGCAUGGAGUAACUUGGGACAUGGGGUCUUGGGGUGGCAUCCAGGAAUGUGGAGCUUCUUUGUGAGGAUUAUUCUUGCUGAAAAUUGUGGAUUUGCUAAGGACUAAAUCCUUACACUGAUUUGUUCUGUUGUCUGACAGGCAGAGGUAAUCAUAGCAAGGGGCAACCUGUAAUUCCAACUUUUGUCAGAAGUUUUCUCAAUGAGAAUGGAUACCAUUAUGAUGAGGCGAGGCCAGGGCUAAUCACAGUGAGGCCCAAGUUCCGUUGCCAGUGAGUGGGUGGUUGCUUGACAAUCCUAUUAGGUGGCGGCAGUGGCCAAGGCAGUUGUGAUUGCGGUAGGCGCUGCGGCCGUGGCCGCCAUUGUACUGGUAGAGGGCCUUUGUGAUUGUCUGUGCAUGCGAGUAGUAGUGUGUUUAUAUGUCUGACGAAUACAAAUGCACUUGUGAGAUCAGUUGUACAUUUCUUGUGAAAAUAGAAUUGCCAUGUUAACUUCCUCUUAUUUUGUUUUCUGAUACAUGGAAAUUAAAUUAAUGUUUAUUUCGAGUUAUGUUCCAUUAAAUAUUUCUUGAUGUUAUUUUUGGAUCUUAAAUUAGUGGAGAAAAAAAAAAUUAAAA